rnacentral:rRNA from 1 species
UAGCGGAGGAAAAGAAACUAACAAGGAUUCCCUCAGUAACGGCGAGUGAAGCGGGAAGAGCCCAGCACCGAAUCCCCUGCUCCUUGCGGGCAGCGGGACCUGUGGUGUUAGGGACGGUUGCACAGGGCGGAGAGCUGCGGCGUCCGUGUCCUCUUGAUCGGGGCCUCUCCCAUAGCGGGUGUCGGGCCUCUAGGCACGCCCGGCUCUCUCCCUUUCUCCGUCCUCGGAGUCGGGUUGUUUGGUAAUGCAGCCCAAAGUGGGUGGUAAGCUCCAUCUAAGGCUAAAUAUGACCACGAGACCGAUAGCGAACAAGUACCGUAAGGGAAAGUUGAAAAGAACUUUGAAGAGAGAGUUCAAGAGUACGUGAAACCGCUUAGAUGGAAACGGAUGGGACCGCAAAAUGUCGCCCGCGGAAUUCAGCUCGCUGUGCGCGCCCGCGCCGCCGUCUCGCAACUCGCGGGGCGGCGUCCGCGGGCCGUGCGGCGGGUGCACUUUCCGCCGGGCGUACGGCCACGACCGGUUCCUUGCCGGGCAGAACGACCGCAGCAAGGUGGCGCGGCGUACGGUAGCUUCGGCUCCGCGCGCUCGCGUGUUACAGGCAGCGGUAGCGGCGGCUCCGGCUCGGGACCGAGUAGAACGAACUGUGCAUCCUUCGGCACGUCCGACGCCGGAAGCGCCCCUCUCGGGCGCCCCGGCGUCGGCGGCCGUCUCGGGAUCGGUGGCUCGAAAUAUGGUCGGUAACCCAUCCGAC